rnacentral:rRNA from 1 species
GAUGAACGCUAGCGGGAGGCUUAACACAUGCAAGUCGAGGGGCAGCAUGGUGUAGCAAUACACUGAUGGCGACCGGCAGACGGGUGAGUAACGCGUAUGUAACCUACCCUGUACAGGGGGAUAACCCGGAGAAAUUCGGACUAAUACCCCAUAAAGAUAUUAGAAGGCAUCUUUUUAUAUUUAAAGCUCAGGCGGUACGGGAUGGGCAUGCGUAACAUUAGCUAGUUGGCAGGGUAAUGGCCUACCAAGGCAACGAUGUUUAGGGGUCCUGAGAGGGUGAUCCCCCACACUGGUACUGAGACACGGACCAGACUCCUACGGGAGGCUG